rnacentral:rRNA from 1 species
UACGAAGGGGGCUAGCGUUGUUCGGAAUCACUGGGCGUAAAGGGCGCGUAGGCGGCCAACUAAGUCGGACGUGAAAUCCCCAGGCUCAACUUGGGAACUGCGUCCGAUACUGGAUGGCUUGAAUCCGGGAGAGGGAUGCGGAAUUCCUGGUGUAGCGGUGGAAUGCGCAGAUAUCAGGAGGAACACCGAUAGCGAAGGCAGCUCGCUGGGACGGUACUGACGGCUGAGGCGCGAAAGCGUGGGGAGCGAACAGG